GCUGCUGCUCUUGUUCGGUCUCUUGGUGCUGACUUUGCGGUCAAAGAUCUUGGGCAGCUUCACUACUUCCUUGGUGUGGAAGUUGCUUCUGUUUCCAAUGGUCUUGUUAUGACGCAAAAGAAGUACUCUUUGGAUUUGUUGCAGCGGGCUGGGAUGCUUAAGUGCAAACCGACUACUACACCUAUGUCUGCUACUGACAGGAUCACUGCUGCCGAUGGUGACCUCCUGCCUUCUGCUGAUGCGACACAGUACAGGAGUAUCGUUGGUGGGUUGCAGUACUUGACGAUCACACGUCCAGAUAUAUCCUUUGCUGUCAACAGAGUAUGUCAGUAUCUCCAGGCACCUCGUGACACUCAUUGGUGUGCGGUGAAGCGCAUCUUGCGCUACAUUCGCUUCACGUUGUCCUAUGGUUUGCACAUUCGACCGAACCCCUCUGGGGUCAUUUCGGCGUAUUCUGAUGCGGAUUGGGCUGGCAGUCCGGAUGACAGGCGAUCCACGGGGGGCUAUGCUGUGUUCUUUGGUUCUACCUUGAUCGCCUGGAGUGCUCGGAAACAGGUUACUGUUUCGCGUAGCAGUACU
rnacentral:rRNA from 1 species